rnacentral:lncRNA from 1 species
AUCUGUGUUGGGCCAUCAUAGAGAGAUUCCUAUAAAGAUGUGGUAUCUGACUGGCUGCUCCACGUACUCUGUGCCUGCUCUUUAAAAAAAAAUUUUAGGAGUUCCCUAGUGGAACAGCAGGUUAAGGACCCAGCAUUGUCACUGCUGUGGCUCAGGUUUGAUCCUUGGCCUGGGAAAUACCUCAUGCCACAGGUAUGGCCCAAGAGAGAAAGACAAAAAACAAAUUGUUUCAAUUAAGAUAAAAUAUUGUAAUUCAAUGAAUUUUAUUAUAGUUAUUGUUGUAUAACCAUCAUUACAACUGAAUUCUAGAACAUUUCCAUUCCAAACCUCCAGUCUGCCCUCCCUCCCCCCAUCCGUCCCCUUUGGUAGCCAUAAGUUUUUCAGAGUCUAUGAGUCUGUUUCUGUUCUGCAAAGUUCAUUUGUAUCCUUUUUUUUACAUUCUACAUACAAGUGAUAUCAUAUGAUAUUUGUCUCUCACAGUCUGACUAACUACAGUUAGUAUGAUAGGUCCAUCCAUGUUGCUCCCAAUGGCAUUACUUCAUUCUUUUUUUUAUGACUGAGUAAUAUUUUAUUGUAUAUAUGUACACAUCUUCUUUAUCCGUUCCUCUGUCCAUGGACAUUUGGGUUGUUUCCAUGUCUUGGCUAAGGUACCUAGUGCUGCAAUGAACAUAGGGGUACAUGUAGUAUUUUUUUGAGUCAUGGUUUUCUCCAGAUAGAUGCCCAGGCGUGGGAUUGCUAGAUCAUAUGGUAAUUCUACUCUAAGUUUUUUGAGAAACCUCCAUACUGUAUUCCAUAGUGGUUGCAUCAAUUCACAUUCCCACCAAAUAGACCUAUAUUGAAAUGCAUAGAUCUUAAUAGUUUCAUCAGUUUCGACAAAUGUAUUUACCUUUAUAAAGUAACCCUACAUUACAGAGAUGGUAUAUUCCAUUAUCCCAGAAAAUACCUCGUGGCCCUUUCCAGGUAAUCCCUCUCCACAUGGGCAACUAGUACUAUAAUUUUUCUUAUCAUAGUGUUAUGUUCCCUGUUUUUGAACAUCAUAUAGAUGGGAUCAUAAUAAUGCCCUUUUUUGAGUCUGGCUUCUUUUGCUCAAUAUUUUUUAAGAGAUUUAUCCAUUUUGCUGCACAUACUGGAAGUUUAUUUUGUUUCUUGCUUAGUAGAACUCCACUGUAGGGAUCGUUUACAAUUUCUUUAUCCAUUCUACUAUGGGAAGGAGUUUGUGUCAUGUCCAGUUUGACCUAUUAUGAGUAAAGAUGCUAUAAGCUUUCUAGUGUGUGUAUGUGUAUAUGUUUUAUUUCUCUUGGGUAAAUACCUAGGCACAGAACGCCUACAAUUACCCAGAGUAGGUGUACCCUUAACUUGGUAAUAAUGUAUCAGGAAGUUUUUCAAAAUUGCAAUACCAUUUUACACUUUCACAGAAAUGUAUGAGAGCACUACAGCUUCACUGAUAUUUACUGUUACUAGACUUUCAAAUUUUAGCCAUUUCAGUGUGUGUGAAGUGAUAUUUCAAAUUAUGGUCUUAUUUUCAUGUUCCUUAUGAUCAAAGAUGUGCAUCUUUUCAUAUGCCUAUUAGCUAUUCAGUAUAUCUUCUUUUGUAAAGUGUCUGUUCAAGUGUGCUGUCCAUUUCAAUUAGGUUGUUUUUCUUUUUGUUAUUAAUUAAUAGGAGUUAGUUAUAUUUGCUGGAUUUAUGUCCUUUGUCAGAUAUAUGAAUUGUGAGUUUGUUCUCCCAGUUGGAGUUUUUCUUAAUGUGGUUUUUUUGUUUUGUUUUGUUUUUUAGCGCCGCAUCUGUGGCAUAUGAAAGUUCCCAGGCUAGGGAUCAAAUCAGAGCUGCAGCUGUUGGCUUAUGCCACAGCCACAGCAACACCAGAUCUGAGCUGCAUCUGUGACCUACACCACAGCUUAUGGCAAUGCCAGAUCCUUUAACCUCCGGAGCAAGGCCAAGGAUCAAACCUAUAUCCUCAUGGAUAAGAGUCAGAUUCUUAACUUGCUGGGCCACAACAGGAACUCACAAUGCUGAAGCUUUAACCAAUGUGCCACAGUGGGAACCUCCAAGCUAAUUUUUCUCUUCUUUCUUGGUAUUGUUUAGCUAUUCUAAGUCUCCUUGCAUUUCCAUACACAUUUUAAACUUAGUUUAAAUUUCUUGAAACAGCGUGCUGAGGUUUCUACUGGGACUGUGUUAAAUGCACAGUUCAACGUGAAGAGAAGUGUCAUCAACAUUGAGUUUUUCACACCAUGAACAUGGUAUGCCUCUCCAUUUAUUUGGGUCUUCUGUAAUUGUUUUCAUCAACAUUUUGUAAGUUUCGGUACAGAAACCUUGCACAACUUUUGUUCAAUCUACUCCUAAGUCUUUUGUGGUGAGCUACUGUAAAUGGCAUUUAAAUUUUUCAUUUUUCAGCUGCCUGACCAGUGUGUAACUUUGGUAAGAUAUUUAACCUCUCCAAGUUUAUUUCUAAACUGUAAAAUGUAGGUUCAUGUUAUUACUAGAACAAAGCCAAGUGUAAAUAUAUGCAAAUAGCUUUGAGGUGUUCUUUUAUUAUUAAAAAGGGUAACUUAGAAAGUUCAUAAUGCAAUACUUGGUAUAUUAGAAUUCUUUUGGUCAAAAGUGGAAAAACAAUGAACAAUUCAAAUUACUUAAGUAAUGGAGGGAGUAUUUUGGCUCAUAUAACUGAAAAGUCUGGGUGGGGGAAUGGCAGUUGGCUUCAGGCAUGACUGAACCAAAGCCCUUCAACAAUACCCCCCAUAAAUCUCUAUUUCCCCAUCUCUUAGCCCUGUUUUCUUCUCUGGUAUUUUACUUUUCCAAAGGCUUUUCUUAUGUAAUGUGUUCCUGCAACUAUAGACUUUCCAGUAUCCAGUCCAAUGGUAAAGAGAAAGCAUUUUCCCAGUUGUUCUAUCAGAAGUACACAGGUCACCCAUUUGACCAUCCCUAAAUUGUGGCCAAGAGAUGUGAUGUACUUGUCCAUCCCUGGAUCUGGGGGUAGAAUCAGCUCUUGAUGGAACUUGAUGGAAAAAAUAUUAUUGGGAGAAUGGUGCCCCAAUGAAAUCUGAGUGGUGUUUAUAGUAGGAAGAAGAAUGGCCUCCAAGAGGCAAACAACAAAUAUUCGUCAUACCUUUAACAUAGUAGCCACAAAGUACAUGGCAGCUAUGGUGUGCUGAUUCUUCUCUGCUUCUGAUAUUCUCUGGGCAUCAGAAACUCUCAAUCAUUUUCCUGAGAGCUUUUAGUCUACUGUUUUCAAGCACUAAUAUCACCUUAAGUUCUACUUUAUGAGUGAAAAAAAAUUACAGGUUUGUGUUGGAACUUAAGAGCCCUUUGACAAUCACCUUAGCUCUCUACUUUGUUUCUACUGUGCAUUUAGCUAAAAAGAGCAGAUUGGUGGCAUAAAUACAACUGCAGUGUUGCUACUCUUCUCCACCUCCUCCUUGGAAAAAUAAAAAGAGUGCUAUUUAUAGCAACUGCAAGCCAGAGUCAACUUUAGUAAUACUGACACACAGCCUUUCCCUGGAAUCAAGCAAGGCCAGUAUCAUGAAAGAAGAGAACUUUGGUUUUUUUGAUGGAGCUAUAUCAAAAGUGUUUUUUCUUUUCUCUUUACGGCUGCACCCGUGGCAUAUGAAAGUUCCCAGGCUAGGUAGGGGUCUAAUCAGAACUACAGCUGCUGGUUUACCCCAAAGCCACAGCAACUUGGAGUCCAAGCUGCGUCUUUGACUUCUGCCACAGCUCAGGCAACGCUGGAUUCCCGACCCAGUGAGCAAAGCCAAGUAUUGAACCUGUAUCCUCAUGGAUACUAGUCGGAUUCGUUUCUGCUGAACCACGAUGGGAAUUCCUUUUCUUAUUUUCUUGACUUCAGAAGAGAAAUAGUAACUGGAUGUUUUACUUGUGUGUCCACGACAUACAAGAAAAGUAUCUGAAAUGUGGUUACUGAAAGGUUUUGCAAAAUUUUUUUUCUGCUUUUUUUAAAGUGGAACUCUUUACUUUCAAACUAAAUUCCAAAGUCCUGAAAGUGGUAAACAAGACCUUUUGCAAUUUGUUUAUGGUGCUUCUCUAGAGUUAACUACAGCCUCAUCCAGAGAAGAAUCUCUUCUUUGUCUUUGUGAAUUCUUUUUUCUUUGUCUGCAAUACCCUUCCUGCUUCAUCUAGGAACUUAGUCAUUUUUCAAGAUGGUACCACUUUCUUCCUACUCUGGGUUAUAUGCCUGGAUCUAAUGUUCUCCUAGCAUCCCAUACUUAGCACCAUCAGAGCAUUUAUCAAGCACAAUGUGAUGGGCCUUUGAGUUGUUUAAGAGAAAGUUUUGGGGUUUUGGUUUUUUUUGGUUGUUUUGUUUCGCUUUUUGUUUUCUCUCCCUGCCAAUGCCAUUGCACCUAGUAUAGAGUAAGCAAUCAGUAAACAUUUUUUUGAAUAAAUGAAUUAUAGAAUCUGAGUGUGAACCUGAGCUUGAAUGAAAGAGACCAUGAGAGGCUUAUGUCUCUUUUGGUAUUAACCUUUGAAAUUGUAUGCAUUCUAUAUAUUAGAAUACUUUGAACACAUGCUAUCUCUAAUAAGCUGAAUAGAAAUAUUCCUACUCAAUAUUAUUCAAGUUUUAUUAAUUUGAGAGCUUUAUGUGUAGAGAAAUAUGAGCAUAUUCCUGGCAUAUGCAAACACUACAAACUGUUUAAUGAACAGUGGCUAUGUAAUAACUUGAGUUUGAAACACCCAGGGCUUACAUCACAAAUCCAUUUUGUUCUACUCCAUCCAGUGAGAGGUAUAUUUGAAGUGAUUAUAGGAAUAAACAGAACUUUAAAUAAUAUAUAAUACACAAAAUGAGAUACUUUUCAUCCUUUUCUUUGGAGGAAUAAUUAUUGCUAGUUAAAUUUGUGACCUCUGACAUUUGGUUUUACUUUCAAUCAUAGGUCUGUCUCAAUCAAUACUUACAUAGGCUCCCCCUCUGGGUGUCUUAAGAAUCAUGCGUCUUGGGAUGGCUUGUGUAAAGUUCAAUAAAAUGCUUUUCUGUGGAGUUCCUGUCGUGGCGCAGUGGUUAACGAAUCCGAGGAGGAACCAUGAGGUUGCGGGUUCGAUCCCUGGCCUUGCUCAGUGGGUUAAGGAUCCGGCAUUGCCGUGAGCUGUGGCGUAGGUUGCAGAUCCCACGUUGCUGUGGCUCUGGCAUAGGCAGGCGGCUAUAGCUCCGAUUAGACCCCUAGCCUGGGAACUUCCAUAUGCCGCGGGAGUGGCCCAAGAAAUGGCAAAAAAAAAAAAAAA